rnacentral:rRNA from 1 species
GGGGUACGAGAGGGCCGCUACCACGCAAGUGGAUGCCAAUCCCCAAAACCUCUCUCAGUUCGGAUUGAAGUCUGCAACCCGACUUCAUGAAGCUGGAUUCGCUAGUAAUCGCGCAUCAGCCACGGCGCGGUGAAUACGUUCCCGGGCCUUGUACACACCGCCCGUCAAGCCAUGGGAGCCGGGGGUACCUGAAGUGCGUAACCGCAAGGAGCGCCCUAGGGUAAAACUGGUGACUGGGGCUAAGUCGUAACAAGGUACC